AAUGAACGCUGGCGGCAGGCCUAACACAUGCAAGUCGAGCGCGCCCUUCGGGGUGAGCGGCGGACGGGUGAGUAACGCGUGGGAACGUGCCCUUCUCUGCGGAAUAGCCUCUGGAAACGGAGAGUAAUACCGCAUACGCCCCUUGGGGGAAAGAUUCACCGAGGAAGGAGCGGCCCGAGUUGGAUUAGGUGGUUGGUGGGGUAAUGGCCCAUCAAGCCGACGAUCCAUAGCUGGGUAGUGAGAAUGAGCAGCCACACUGGGGCUGAGACGCGGCCCGGCCUCCUACAGGAGGCGGGAGAGGGGGAUCUAGGACAAUCGCGGCAGCGCUGAAGUAGCCAGGGCGGGAGAGUGAUGAAGGCCUUAAAGUUGUCAAGCUCUUUAAGCUGGGGAGAUAAUGACGGUACCAGCAUAAGAAGCCCCGGCUAACUCCGUG
rnacentral:rRNA from 1 species